GAUGAACGCUGGCGGCGUGCCUAAUACAUGCAAGUCGAGCGAACAGACGAGGAGCUUGCUCCUCUGACGUUAGCGGCGGACGGGUGAGUAACACGUGGAUAACCUACCUAUAAGACUGGGAUAACUUCGGGAAACCGGAGCUAAUACCGGAUAAUAUAUUGAACCGCAUGGUUCAAUAGUGAAAGACGGUUUUGCUGUCACUUAUAGAUGGAUCCGCGCCGCAUUAGCUAGUUGGUAAGGUAACGGCUUACCAAGGCAACGAUGCGUAGCCGACCUGAGAGGGUGGUCGGCCACACUGGAACUGAGACGCGGUCCAGACUCCUACGGGAGGCAGCAGUAGGGAAUCUUCCGCAAUGGGCGGAAGCCUGACGGAGCAACGCCGCGUGAGUGAUGAAGGUCUUCGGAUCGUAAAACUCUGUUAUUAGGGAAGAACAAAUGUGUAAGUAACUAUGCACGUCUUGACGGUACCUAGUCAGAAAGCCACGGCUAACUACGUG
rnacentral:rRNA from 1 species